rnacentral:rRNA from 1 species
ACGCUGGCGGCGUGCUUAAUACAUGCAAGUCAACUUGACUUUAGAUAGCAAUAUCGAAAAGUAGGGUGGCGCACGGGUGCGUAACGCGUAGGUAAUCUGCCCUGAGGUCUGACAUAACCCGUCGAAAGGGCGGGCUAACAUCAGAUGAUAUAUAAUCACGACAUCGUGGAAAUAUCAAAUCUUCGGAGCCUUGGGAUGAGCCUGCGUCUGAUUAGGUAGUUGGCGGAGUAAUAGCCCACCAAGCCUACGAUCAGUAGCUGGUCUGAGAGGAUGAUCAGCCACACUGGAACUGAGACACGGUCCAGACUCCUACGGGAGGCAGCAGUAAGGAAUAUUGCUCAAUGGGGGAAACCCUGAAGCAGCAACGCCGCGUGAAGGAUGAAAUACUUUGUAUGUAAACUUCUGUAAGAUGGGAAAAAUAUUCUCCUCGGGAGAAUUGAUUGUACCAUCAGAGUAAGCCCCGGCUAACUACGUG